UGAAUGUCAGAAUGGGAAAGAAAGGUAACACUGCUCCCACCCUGACCAUCCUGGCCCCCUCUAGUGAGGAACUGUCCAGUACAACAACAGCCACACUGAUGUGUCUGGCCAACAAGGGCUUCCCCUCAGACUGGACCUUGAGUUGGAAAGUGGACGGGAACAACAAGAAUCAGAAGUCCAGUUCCAAGGUCCUGGAGAAGGAUGGUCUAUACAGCUGGAGCAGCACCCUGACUCUCACUGCCCAGGAGUGGAACAAGGUGGGAGAGGUGACCUGUGAAGCCCAGAAGAGCUCCCAGACUCCAGUCAUCAAGACCCUGAGGAGGGAUGACUGUUCUGGUUAGGACCUGUCUGUCACAUUACCCUCUGAAGAGAGGUUGCUGGUUCUUUGGCUUUUACUCUGUUUUGACAUCAGAUGUUUUGUCUUAUAGAUCACUUUCAUGUAGACUAACAGUAAGCUUUGCAUGAGUUCAUGUGUCCAUCCUCUCUGUAGAUGGACAUUUGAUAGAUAUGAUAUGGUCUGCUU